GAUGAACGCUGGCGGCGUGCUUAACACAUGCAAGUCGAACGGAAAGGCUCCUGCUUGCAGGGGUACUCGAGUGGCGAACGGGUGAGUAACACGUGGGUGAUCUGCCCUGCACUUCGGGAUAAGCCUGGGAAACUGGGUCUAAUACCGGAUAGGACGAUGGUUUGGAUGCCAUUGUGGAAAGUUUUUUCGGUGUGGGAUGAGCUCGCGGCCUAUCAGCUUGUUGGUGGGGUAAUGGCCUACCAAGGCGUCGACGGGUAGCCGGCCUGAGAGGGUGUACGGCCACAUUGGGACUGAGAUACGGCCCAGACUCCUACGGGAGGCAGCAGUGGGGAAUAUUGCACAAUGGGCGCAAGCCUGAUGCAGCGACGCCGCGUGGGGGAUGACGGCCUUCGGGUUGUAAACUCCUUUCGCUAGGGACGAAGCGCAAGUGACGGUACCCGGAGAAGAAGCACCGGCUAACUACGUG
rnacentral:rRNA from 1 species